rnacentral:rRNA from 1 species
UACGUAGGGGGCUAGCGUUGUCCGGAAUCAUUGGGCGUAAAGAGCGUGUAGGCGGUCCUGUAAGUCCGCUGUGAAAGUCGGGGGCUCAACCCUCGAAUGCCGGUGGAUACUGUCGGGCUAGAGUGCGGAAGAGGCGAGUGGAAUUCCUGGUGUAGCGGUGAAAUGCGCAGAUAUCAGGAGGAACACCGGUGGCGAAGGCGGGUCUCUGGGCCGAUACUGACGCUGAGGAGCGAAAGCGUGGGGAGCGAACAGG